ACAUGCAAGUCGAGGGGUAUAAGUCUUCGGAUUUAGAGACCGGCGCACGGGUGCGUAACGCGUAUGCAAUCUACCUUUCACAAAGGGAUAGCCCAGAGAAAUUUGGAUUAAUACCUUAUAGUAUAUAGUUUUGGCAUCAAGAUUAUAUUAAAGAUUUAUCGGUGAAAGAUGAGCAUGCGUCCCAUUAGCUAGUUGGUAUGGUAACGGCAUCCAAGGCUACGAUGGUAGGGGUCCUGAGAGGGAGAUCCCCCACACUGGUACUGAGACACGGACCAGACUCCUACGGGAGGCAGCAGUGAGGAAUAUUGGACAAUGGGCGCAAGCCUGAUCCAGCCAUGCCGCGUGCAGGAUGACGGUCCUAUGGAUUGUAAACUGCUUUUGUACAGGAAGAAACAACUCUACGUGUAGAGUCUUGACGGUACUGUAAGAAUAAGGAUCGGCUAACUCCGUGCCAGCAGCCGCGGAAUACGGAGGAUCCAAGCGUUAUCCGGAAUCAUUGGGUUUAAAGGGUCCGUAGGCGGUCUUAUAAGUCAGUGGUGAAAUCUCNUCGCUCAACGGUGAAACGGCCAUUGAUACUGUAAGACUUGAAUUAUUAGGAAGUAACUAGAAUAUGUAGUGUAGCGGUGAAAUGCUUAGAGAUUACAUGGAAUACCAAUUGCGAAGGCAGGUUACUACUAAUGGAUUGACGCUGAUUGGUCGA
rnacentral:rRNA from 1 species